rnacentral:tRNA from 1 species
CGGGAUGUGGCGCAGUUGGUAGCGCACUUGGUUUGGGACCAAGGGGUCCUCCGUUCGAGUCGGAGUAUCCCGA